GUCCACGCCCUAAACGAUGCCAACUAGUUGUUGGGGAAGGAGACUUCCUUAGUAACGAAGCUAACGCGUGAAGUUGGCCGCCUGGGGAGUACGGUCGCAAGAUUAAAACUCAAAGGAAUUGACGGGGACCCGCACAAGCGGUGGAUGAUGUGGAUUAAUUCGAUGCAACGCGAAAAACCUUACCUACCCUUGACAUGCCAGGAACUCUGCUGAGAGGUGGAGGUGCCCGAAAGGGAGCCUGGACACAGGUGCUGCAUGGCUGUCGU
rnacentral:rRNA from 1 species